rnacentral:ncRNA from 1 species
AAGAAAACGUGAAAAAGAGUAGUACCCAUAAUUUUCUAUUUUAGAGAGAGGAGCGUUGCUGGGAGCUUCUUAUGGAAAUGUGGCGAAUUCGCUUUUGGAGUGGGGUUUGACCUCGGUGGAGACCGUUACACUUAUUGAGAGAUUGGCAAAUUUGCCGAUAAUCUAGGAUGGUACCGCGAGACAAUCGUUCCUUUU